rnacentral:lncRNA from 1 species
GAAAAUUCCACUCCUGUGCUAGCUCCACCCUAUGCGGCUUUUCUCCUACCCGACGCUCUUCACUCUCAGCUCCCUUCCCGGCGGCCUUUGCGGGAACAAGAUGGCAGCCCUCAUACCUCAAGGGUUCUCUUGUUUAUCGAGGGUUUUGGGCUGGUGGUCUCGGCAGCCAGUUCUGGUGACUCAGUCCGCAGCUAUAGUUCCAGUAAGAACUAAAAAACGUUUCACAUCUCCUAUUUAUCAACCUAAAUUUAAAACAGAAAAGGAGUUUAUGCAACAUGCCCGGAAAGCAGGAUUGGUUAUUCCUCCAGAAAAAUCGGACCGUUCCAUACAUCUGGCCUGUACAGCUGGUAUAUUUGAUGCCUAUGUUCCUCCUGAGGGUGAUGCACGCAUAUCAUCUCUUUCAAAGGAGAGAUGAUAGAGAGAACUGAUAGAGAGAACUGAACGAAUGAAGAAGACUAUGGCAUCACAAGUGUCAAUCCGGAGGAUAAAAGACUAUGAUGCCAACUUUAAAAUAAAGGACUUCCCUGAAAAAGCUAAGGAUAUCUUUAUUGAAGCUCACCUUUGUCUAAAUAAG